rnacentral:rRNA from 1 species
CGUGUAGGCGGUCGGGUAAGUCGGAUGUGAAAGCCCCGGGCUCAACCCGGGAAGUGCAUUCGAUACUACUUGGCUAGAGUACUGGAGAGGAUGGUGGAACUCUCGGUGUAGAGGUGAAAUUCGUAGAUAUCGAGAAGAACACCGGCGGCGAAGGCGGCCAUCUGGACAGAUACUGACGCUGAGACGCGAAAGCGUGGGGAGCAAACAGGAUUAGAUACCCUGGUAGUCCACGCCGUAAACGAUGGGUGCUAGGUGUCACGGGUAUUGACCCCUGUGGUGCCGAAGCUAACGCAUUAAGCACCCCGCCUGGGAAGUACGGCCGCAAGGCUAAA